rnacentral:lncRNA from 1 species
GACUUCUACGAGAGCCAAACGCGAUGCACCCGGCAUACUAGCUGGCGUGCUCCCGGUUCGAGUCCCGGCUGGUCCACUUCCGAUCCAGCCUCUGCUGUGGCCUGGGAAAGCAGUGGAGGAUGGCCCGUGUGCCUGGGCCGCUGCACCCGCGGGAGACCCGGAAGAGGCUCCUGGCUCCUGGCUUUGGACCUGGGCCAGCUCCGGCUGUCCUGGCCAUUUGGGAAGUGAACCAACGGAUGAAAGAUCUAACUCUGCCUCUCAAAUAAAUAUUUAUAUAUAUAUAAAUAUAUAUAUAUAUUUAUAUAUAUUUAUAUAUAUAUAUUUAUAUAUAUAUAAAUAUAUAUAAAUAUAUAUAAAUAUAUAUUUAUACACACACACACAAACACACACCCCUUUAGAUCUGUGCUAACACACACCGCUUGGGUUUCCUGUCGUUAUUCCUGAAUAAUGCAGUAUUACCCUGUGUGUUCCAUUUGCAAGGUGUCAGGUGUUAGAAGCCCACGGGCCUCCUGCGGGUGCGCGGGACGGCUGUGCUGCAGCCUGCACCUGCCAGAGCUCACCGCAGCUGGGGAGAGCUCCCGGCGAUGGGCGUGGAGGGUGGGAGCGGCCUCGCCGCCAGAGGCGCGCAGAGCGGUGGGGCCGGGCGCGCAGGUGUGGGUGGGAGGAAGCGCAGAGCCGAGGCGGAGGGGUAGGGCGCGCAGGUGUGGGUGGGAGGAAGUCGCCAGGUGCGCGCAGAGGCGGAGGGGCCGGGGGCGCAGGUGUGGGUGGGAGGAAGCCGCCAGGUGCGCGCAGAGGCGGUGGGGUCGGGCGCGCAGGUGUGGGUGGGAGGAAGCCGCCUGGUGCGCGCAGAGGCGGAGGGGCCGGGCGCGCAGGUGUGGGUGGGAGGAAGCGCAGAGCCGAGGGCGGAGGGGCCGGGCGCGCAGGUGUGGGUGGGAGGAAGCCGCCAGGUGCGCGCAGAGGCGGUGGGGCCGGGCGCGCAGGUGUGGGUGGGAGGAAGCCGCCAGGUGCGCGCAGAGGCGGAGGGGCCGGGCGCGCAGGUGUGGGUGGGAGGAAGCCGCCAGGUGCGCGCAGAGGCGGUGGGGCCGGGCGCGCAGGUGCGGGUGGGAGGAAGCGCAGAGCCGGGGCUCAGCCAGGUGAGUGCGGAGGCUCGGGUGUGAACCCGGCGACGAGGGAGAAUUCGGCCGAGGAAGGAGCUGGCGGCUGUGGCCUGCUUAAUUGCAGAAAAUGAGGAGAGGAGCAGGCGGCUGAGCGCUCAGACUGCGGUUUCACGGACGCCAGUGUGGGUCCCCGUGUCUUCUCCCUCCCCCUCUUCUGGGAAAGUCUGGGUGGGGGACUUUUGGAUGUGGAAGUCCCCCAAACAACCCCUCCGGGCGACACUGGCUGUCAGGGGAAGCUUCGCCGGGGACCAGGGCUGGGGGGCCGCUGUGUCGCUCCCUCCGCACGGAGUUCCUCUCCUGAGCGCCCGGCAAGGACGCCGUGGGCUCGGGGAGUCCGACCGAGGCCGGCGCCUGCCUCGUUCGGGCCAUUGCACAUGCAUCUCUUUUCUUUGAAACCCCCAUUUUCUUUGGCCCCUCUUAUGUGCGUAGCUAACACCCACCUGGCUGUCUUCACCCGGGGGCAGCAAUACCAGUGGGUCAGCAGUGGGGGGGCGUGGUCACACAGCCGGUGCAGAGGGGGGACACGUGACCUCUGCAUUUUUUUAAAAUUGAGAUAUAUAUCAUACAAUUCACCUUUUUUUUUUUUUAAUAUUUAUUUGAAAGGCAGCAUUACAGAGAGGGAGAGAGAGUCAGAAAGAUCUUCCAACUGCUUGUUCACUCCUCAAAUGGCCACAAUGGCUGGGGCUGGCCCUUGCUGGAGCCAGGAGCCAGGAGCUUCUUCCGGGUCUCCCAUGCGGGUGCAGGGGCCCAAGGACCUGGGCCAUCUUCUACUGCCUUCCCAGGUGCACUAGCAGGGAUUUUUUUUUUUUAAGAUUUAUUUAUUUAUUUGAAAGUUGUCGCUCCCCCUCUUCGUGGGGGAACGACACAGGACCCUGCGCUGUUCUGCUCGGCCCUCCCCGGGUUUGCUGCUGGUUCUUCCCGGGUUGGCUACUAUCCCUUCCACCUCCGUGGAAGGGCAGUUCCCCCUGGCCACAUUCCCC